AGGAGAGCCUCAAACACCACAACCUCGACCCCGUCCAAAUCCUGAACGACUUCCACAGUUACGUCGAGAUUGCUUUGGACCCAGCACAUUCGCACCCUCUGCAAAAUGAUCCCGUUUUCCAGCGAAGGCUCCGUCCCCCCAAAGUGCCCACCAUUACCCCCUGGA